rnacentral:rRNA from 1 species
AAUAGAUACCCGGGUAGUCCACGCCGUAAACGAUGAUUACUCGCUGUUGGCGAUACACAGUCAGCGGCUAAGCAAAAGCAAUAAGUAAUCCACCUGGGGAGUACGGCCGCAAGGUUGAAACUCAAAGGAAUUGACGGGGGCCCGCACAAGCGGAGGAACAUGUGGUUUAAUUCGAUGAUACGCGAGGAACCUUACCUGGGCUUAAAUGUAGAGUGCAUGAGGUGGAAACACUUCUUUCCUUCGGGACUCUUUGCAAGGUGCUGCAUGGUUGUCGUCAGCUCGUGCCGUGAGGUGUCGGGUUAAGUCCCAUAACGAGCGCAACCCUUAUCGUUAGUUGCCAGCGGGUAAAGCCGGGGACUCUAGCGAAACUGCCACCGUAAGGUGAGAGGAAGGUGGGGAUGACGUCAAAUCAGCACGGCCCUUAUGUCCAGGGCUACACACGUGUUACAAUGGCCGGCACAGAGGGCAGCUACCUGGUGACAGGAUGCUAAUCUCGAAAACCGGUCUCAGUUCGGAUCGAAGUCUGCAACUCGACUU